UAGGGAAUAUUGCGCAAUGGGGGAAACCCUGACGCAGCUACGCCGCGUGAGUGAAGAAGGCCUUCGGGUUGUAAAGCUCUGUCACCCGGGAAAAACAAGCAGUGGGGGAAAGUUCCAUUGCCCUGAUUGUACCGGGGGAGGAAGCACCGGCAAACUCUGUGCCAGCAGCCGCGGUAAUACAGAGGGUGCAAGCGUUGUUCGGAUUUACUGGGCGUAAAGCGUGCGUAGGCGGUAUUGAGAGUCAUAGGUGAAAUCCCCGGGCUUAACCCGGGAACUGCCCGUGAGACCUCAGUACUAGAGUGUGAGAGGGGAUGGUGGAAUUCCAAGUGUAGCGGUGAAAUGCGUAGAGAUUUGGAGGAACACCGGUGGCGAAGGCGACCAUCUGGCUCACAACUGACGCUCAGGCACGAAAGCAUGGGUAGCAAACAGG
rnacentral:rRNA from 1 species